rnacentral:misc_RNA from 1 species
GAGAGAGAGAGAGAGAGAGAUCUGGAAAUGGCGAGUUAGUUCCCCUGGUUACUCCAAGCUUAAAAGUGAAUCCAAAGAUCAAUCCACCGACCGAGAGAGAGAUGGGAGGGUACGCUUUGGGUUCGGCUUUUGAUUCCAAAUCAGGGCAGACGAUAAUGGUGGGUUCAUUCUACUUUGGCACUCUCUUUGGCAACAAUGUUCCCAUUUAUGUCUUUCAAUCAUCCUCCUCUAGUUCCAUUUCUCUUCUGGUCUGUUUGCAUUUUUUAGUAUCUACAGAAUCCAUUGCAUGAUCUUCAUUUUUUUUUCUUUUUUUCUUCUUUUCUUAGUAUUCGGUAGAAGAAACAGUUUAUCUGGAAGCAACAUAUACAUCCAAAUCUUUUAAAACAAGGAACAAAAUUUAAGUGCACUAAGAUGUAACAGUCCUAAUAGGAAUGGUAAAACCAUAAAAUACAUCCCUGGCAUGCUAAGCAUCCAGGCAUGAAUUUCACUGCAUUUAGAGAUGGAUCCUACUAGGUUGUGCCUUUGUCAUCCUUGCUUCACCGUAGGGUUCAUCAUUAUCUAUCCUGCGAUUGUUCCUGAAAGCUGCACAGCCGAUCACAUAAACAAUCACUAGGAUGAUUAAUACAAUGAUGUUAAUUACUGACACCUUCCUCCAACUCUUCUUCAGGCUGCCUAGCACUCCAGCCUUGCAAGAGUUGCAAGAAUAGCACAGCUGCUCUUGAUCAUUGCUCCAGUUGCUGCAGUCGGUGUUGUAAGCAACCCCUCCAGCUCCAGAUGCCCAUACAGUUUCAUUCACAUAAGAGAAACCACAGUCGCUAGGAGGCUUGCAGCAACCAGACUGAAUAGGACUAAGCUUCCUUUGAUAAAACAUAUCAGCAGUUUCAGGCAUACCAUUAAUGGUGACUCCCAUCUUAGCACAAAUCUUAGAAUCUCUAAUACAAGAACUAAUCUUGCUCCAGUAGCUAUCACUAGCCACACGCUCCUCCAGCCAACCUGAGUAAUCUUGCAGAUAAUAGUCCAAAUAUGCUCUGCCCAUCACCGGCCGCCCUGACCCUUUAUCGGUCACUGCAUAUGCAAAGAUGAUGAACCCUAUAAGCGCUGCGAUGAUGAAGAACAUAACAAACAAGUAUAGCCACAUCAAGAAAGUGUUCCUAUAACACGCGCCGGCAAAACCAGCCAAAGAUAUAACCAUAAUAGACACCCCAAUCACGAUCAAUGGCCACUGCAAGAAUUUUAAGCAAUCUGUGUUGUUGGCUCGGCUGCUUAGCCAUAUCCCACCACCAAGAAUUGGGAUUGAGAGCAAGAAAGUUAAGAAGUUUAGCAGACCUAUCAGGUGAUUGCUACUUCUCAUCUUGGUUGAUUCUCUAGACUAUUGAAUAUGGCUGUGUUUGAUUUCUCUCUUUCUGGUUUAUGGGAAAUUAUGGUUUUCUUCACACUUUACAGAGACCAAUGAUAAAAGUUUCUGAGAUGCAGUUGUUGAUGAUUUAUGAGUUUGAAGUGGACCUUACUGGUUUUCUGUAGCCGUAGGGUAGGGUACCCCUUAAAUUGUACAGGCGUUGGUGAAAGAGGAUGGUUGCAUGGUUUUUAUGUGGGUUGAGGGUAAUAAUAAUUCUUGAGCCUUUUUGGAUUACUUACUUGUCGUGGUGGUUUGACAGCGUUUUGCUUGAAC